UACAGAGGUCUCAAGCGUUGUUCGGAUUCAUUGGGCGUAAAGGGUGCGUAGGUGGCGCGCUAAGUCGGGUGUGAAAUUUCGGAGCUUAACUCCGAAACUGCAUUCGAUACUGGUGUGCUUGAGGACUGGAGAGGAGACUGGAAUUUACGGUGUAGCGGUGAAAUGCGUAGAUAUCGUAAGGAAGACCAGUGGCGAAGGCGGGUCUCUGGACAGUUCCUGACGCUGAGGCACGAAGGCCCAGGGGAGCAAACGGG
rnacentral:rRNA from 1 species